GUAGGUGGCAAGCGUUGUCCGGAAUUAUUGGGGCGUAAAGCGCGCGCAGGCGGUCCUUUAAGUCUGAUGUGAAAGCCCACGGGCUCAACCGUGGAGGGUCAUUGGAAACUGGGGGACUUGAGUACAGAAGAGGAAAGAGGAAUUCCAAGUGUAGCGGUGAAAUGCGUAGAGAUUUGGAGGAACACCAGUGGCGAAGGCGGCUUUCUGGUCUGUAACUGACGCUGAGGCGCGAAAGCGUGGGGAGCAAACAGGAUUAGAUACCCUGGUAGUCCACGCCGUAAACGAUGAGUGCUAAGUGUUAGGGGGUUUCCGCCCCUUAGUGCUGCAGCUAACGCAUUAAGCACUCCGCCUGGGGAGUACGGCCGCAAAGGCUGA
rnacentral:rRNA from 1 species